rnacentral:hammerhead_ribozyme from 1 species
AUCCAGCUGACGAGUCCCAAAUAGUACGAAGUGACUUGCGCCCUGGAU